rnacentral:antisense_RNA from 1 species
CUUCACCGAACCCAGCCACAACGGCUGUUCGGGCGACCGCUGCUGUCCGUAGGUCGCGAUCAGCGCCUGCGCCUC